AUUGAACGCUGGCGGCAGGCUUAACACAUGCAAGUCGAGCGGUAGCACAAGAGAGCUUGCUCUCUGGGUGACGAGCGGCGGACGGGUGAGUAAUGUCUGGGAAACUGCCUGAUGGAGGGGGAUAACUACUGGAAACGGUAGCUAAUACCGUAUAACGUCGCAAGACCAAAGAGGGGGACCUUCGGGCCUCUUGCCAUCAGAUGUGCCCAGAUGGGAUUAGCUAGUAGGUGGGGUAAUGGCUCACCUAGGCGACGAUCCCUAGCUGGUCUGAGAGGAUGACCAGCCACACUGGAACUGAGACACGGUCCAGACUCCUACGGGAGGCAGCAGUGGGGAAUAUUGCACAAUGGGCGCAAGCCUGAUGCAGCCAUGCCGCGUGUGUGAAGAAGGCCUUCGGGUUGUAAAGCACUUUCAGCGAGGAGGAAGGUGGUGAACUUAAUACGUUCAUCAAUUGACGUUACUCGCAGAAGAAGCACCGGCUAACUCCGUG
rnacentral:rRNA from 1 species